rnacentral:rRNA from 1 species
ACUCAAAGGAAUUGACGGGGGCCCGCACAAGCGGCGGAGCGUGCGGUUUAAUUCGACGCAACGCGCAGAACCUUACCCGGGCUUGACAUGCGCCUGCAGACGUGGGAAACCACGGGGCCUUCGAGGGUGGCGCACAGGUGCUGCAUGGCUGUCGUCAGCUCGUGUCGUGAGAUGUUGGGUUAAGUCCCGCAACGAGCGCAACCCCCGCGGCUAGUUGCUGAGGUUUCUAGCCGGACUGCCGGUAGCAAGCCGGAGGAAGGUGGGGAUGAUGUCAAGUCAGCAUGGCCCUUACGUCCGGGGCGACACGCACGCUACAAUGGCCAGGACAGUGGGUUGCCAAGGCGCGAGCCGGAGCCAAUCCCCCAAACCUGGUCUCAGUUCGGAUUGCGGGCUGCAACUCGCCCGCAUGAAGGUGGAGUCGCUAGUAACCGCGGGUCAGCACUACCGCGGUGAAUACGUUCCCGGGCCUUGCACACACCGCCCGU